rnacentral:rRNA from 1 species
UGAGGAAUUUUGCACAAUGGGGGAAACCCUGAUGCAGCGACGCCGCGUGAUUUAGAAGGCCUUCGGGUUGUAAAAAUCUUUUGUAUGGGAAGAAAAUGACAGUACCAUACGAAUAAGGACCGGCUAAUUACGUGCCAGCAGCCGCGGUAAUACGUAAGGUCCGAGCGUUGUCCGGAAUCAUUGGGCGUAAAGGGUACGUAGGCGGAUAAGCAAGUUAGAAGUGAAAUCCUAUAGCUCAACUAUAGUAAGCUGUUAAAACUGCUCAUCUUGAGGUAUGGAAGGGAAAGUGGAAUUCCUAGUGUAGCGGUGAAAUGCGCAGAUAUUAGGAGGAAUACCGGUGGCGAAGGCGACUUUCUGGCCAUAUACUGACGCUGAGGUACGAAAGCGUGGGUAGCAAACAGG